rnacentral:rRNA from 1 species
AACGAACGCUGGCGGCAGGCCUAACACAUGCAAGUCGAGCGCACCCUUCGGGGUGAGCGGCGGACGGGUGAGUAACGCGUGGGAACGUGCCCUUCUCUGCGGAAUAGCCUCGGGAAACUGAGAGUAAUACCGCAUACGCUCUUUGGGGGAAGGAUCUAUCGGAGAAGGAUCGGCCCGCGUUGGAUUAGGUAGUUGGUGGGGUAAUGGCCGACCAAGCCGACGAUCCAUAGCUGGUUUGAGAGGAUGACUAGCCACACUGGGCCUGCGACACGGCCCAGACUCCUACGGGAGGCAGCAGUGGGGAAUCUUAGACAAUGGGGGCAACCCUGAUCUAGCCAUGCCGCGUGAGUGAUGAAGGCCUUAGGGUUGUAAAGCUCUUUCAGAUGGGAAGAUAAUGACGGUACCAGCAGAAGAAGCACCGGCUAACUCCGUG